AUACAGAGGGUGCGAGCGUUAAUCGAAAUUACUGGGCGUAAAGCGCGCGUAGGCGGCUACUUAAGUCAGAUGUGAAAUCCCCGGGCUCAACCUGGGAACUGCAUCUGAUACUGGGUAGCUAGAGUUUUGGAGAGGGAAGUAGAAUUUCAGGUGUAGCGGUGAAAUGCAUAGAGAUCUGAAGGAAUACCAGUGGCGAAGGCGACUUCCUGGCCAAAAACUGACGCUGAGGUGCGAAAGCGUGGGUAGCAAACGGGAUUAGAAACCCCAGUAGUCC
rnacentral:rRNA from 1 species